AAGUUCUGGUCUUGGUGCGGACGGACGAUAGUCUUCAGCGACCGUGCCAUUUGAAAACCCUUUGGGUCGGUGGGACUUUCGUCCGUUUGUAACCGCCAGUUGCAA
rnacentral:pre_miRNA from 1 species